rnacentral:rRNA from 1 species
GACAGAGGGUGCAAACGUUGUUCGGAAUUACUGGGCGUAAAGAGCGCGCAGGCGGUCGAUCAAGUCGAGUGUGAAAGCCCCCGGCUCAACUGGGGAGGGUCAUUCGAAACUGGUCGACUCGAAGGCAGGAGAGGGUAGUGGAAUUCCCGGUGUAGUGGUGAAAUGCGUAGAUAUCGGGAGGAACACCAGUGGCGAAGGCGACUACCUGGCCUGUUCUUGACGCUGAGGCGCGAAAGCUAGGGGAGCAAACGGG